AAUAUUGCGCAAUGGAGGCAACUCUGCCGCAGCGACGCCGCGUGAGCGAUGAAGGUCUUCGGAUCGUAAAGCUUUGUCCUUGGGGAAGAAGGGAGCCGUAAGGCUUCUUGACGGUUCCCAUGGAGGAAUGCCGGGCUAACUACGUGCCCGGAGCCGCGGUAAUACGUAGGGGGAAAGCGUUGUCCGGAAUUAUUGGGCGUAAAGGGUGCGUAGGCGGCCCUUUAAGUCAGAUGUGAAAGCCCACGGCUUAACCGGGGGACUGCAUUUGAAACUGGAGGGCUUGAGUGUCGGAGAGGGCAGUGGAAUUCCCAGUGUAGCGGUGGAAUGCGUAGAUAUUGGGAGGAACACCAGUGGCGAAGGCGACUGCCUGGACGAUAACUGACGCUGAGGCACGAAAGCUAGGGGAGCAAAC
rnacentral:rRNA from 1 species